CAUACCCUUGUCUCAAAAAUUAACCCUUUCAUGUCUAAUUAUAAACAAAUCUAUACUGUGAAACUGCAAAUGGCUCAUUAUAUCAUUUAUAUUUUAUUUGAUGUUCCUUGCUACUUGAAUAACCGUAUUAAUUCUAGAGCUAAUACAUGCAUCAAGCCCUGACUUCUGGAAAGGGUGUAUUUAUUAAAUGGAAACCAAGGCGGGGCACCCCGAAAUCUGGUGAUUCAUAAUAACUUUCGAAUCGACUUCGGUCGAUGCAUCAUUCAAUUUUCUGCCCUAUCACCCUUGGAGGGUAGGGUAUUGGCCUACCAUGGCUUUAACGGGAAACGAAAAUUUUUUUUUCAAUUCCGGAAAGGGACCCUGAAAAACGGCUACCACAUCCAAGGAAGGCACCGGGCCCGUUAAAUUCCCCAUUCCUGCCACCGGAAGGUAUUGACAAUAAUUAAACUGGCCGGGUUUUUCUAAGUC
rnacentral:rRNA from 1 species